CCACUCGAGUCGCUGCAGCCCAGCCUGUUUAUCUUGUGAGCUGCAGAGGCACUCACAGCCCCCGCUGCGGCUCCGUCCCCGGGUGAUUGCAUCUCUCCUAGGUGGGUGUUAAAGGACGGGACCGGACGACCGGAACCAUGGGAGGAAGAGCAGGCAGGCUGCAGGAGAGGAAGGAGGAAGGAACCACAGGAGAGGGUGUGGCGUGAGGCCGAUGGAAACCACAGCUAUCUGUUGGGCAGGAAAGAGAAACCAGAUACAGCUUCCUGGGCAAUGGAACUUCAGAGACAAGCACAGAGUUUGCUGUCAACUCCAGGAGGCUGAAGCCACCAUUCCCGCAGCCUUUGGGGGGCUCCAUGGACCUAGCACUGCUGGUGAAUUGGCGUGGAUGCCGCUAAGUGCUGCGCUCAUUCUUGCGAUCUGUCUCUAUCCCAUUCUGGAGCAGUGACCAAGCCCUCAGGGGCCUCCUGCUGCAGACAACCCUUUCAGGGAGGCUGUUUAGAGCCCCACAGAAACCGUGCCACCAGCCACGGAGCAGUGCUGCCUGAAGCAGAGAGCAGAGAGCCUGAGUCAGAGAGCAGAAGGCAAAGUUGCCCGCUUCCCCAACUUGUGAGCUGUGUGAAUUUGGGUCGAGCACUUAACCGGUCUGUGCCUCAGUUACUGCAUCUAGCAAAUGCAGGCGAUGGUAGCUGCCCCUCCUCAGGGAGACUGUGAAGACUAAGUGAGAUGGUGCCUGGCAAGCACUUCACAUGGUGCCUUGUUAGUCUGUCCUCUUCCUUCUUUAGAAAAAGGGCCCCAGUGGAGAGGCAGGACCCUGCCCCAUGAAAGAGGGACGCAUGCCUAAAAAGAGCAAAGGGGCCUCUUUCACAAAAUCAUAGGAUGUCUGAACAGAAGGUCUGGGUGGAUGCAACUU
rnacentral:lncRNA from 1 species